rnacentral:lncRNA from 1 species
GUUUGUGGCGGCUGAGCCCUGGAUCUGGGGAGGUGACCCUCUGCCUGGUGGUGUCUCUCUCCUACAGCUCUGAACAUGCGGGGCAAUCUGGGUGGAAAGAGCGCAGGUUUUGUUCAGGCUGACAGCCUAGUUGGAGUAAACCACUUAAGGACUCUGUCUCAUUUUCCUCAUUUGUCAAAAAGAGAUUUCACUGUUUUUCAAGGAUCCCUACCCACCUAGCAGCCUGCUCUGUCAUUUUCCCCUGAACGCGAGAAGCACCUUCUGCAUGAGAUAAUUAGCUUGUCCAGACCACAAGUUGCUGACUGAGGAAGACUCAUGUCUUGUGAGCGUCAGCCGUAAGGUAGCGGCAGAAGCUAAAGAAAGAGGCACAGAACACAUGUAAAAUUAUCUCAGUACAUAGACUCUUUGUUCCUCCAAAUUCAUGCAUUUAUUUUUUCCAUAAAACAUGGGGAAGCUGGGUCCUACUUUGGAAGCAAAGGGCUAUUCCCCUAGGAAGCCCCUGAAGGUCUGGGCUUUUAUGGAGUCUAUGAGCCUCGCCCUCGUGCUACAUCCUGAGGACUCAUCAGGGCCUCUGACAGCUUCGAGGCUCUUCCUUCCCAGAGCCUGCUUCUUCUCGUCUGCAUUUCAUCCUGAGCGUGUCUGGAAGUCAGGCGCAGAGAGCACAGUGGCUGAACAGCCCAUAGUCAAGUCAUGCCUCUCCAGGCAACUCUGCCUCCUGCCCAAGCUGGAAGGAAGUGUUCCGUAUAUGCACACCGUGGAUGAGAUGGUUGGCUCAACUCAGAGGCUGAGUGGUUCCCACCGAGAAGUGGGAUGCUGUAGGUAUGCGACCACCCCAAGAGAUGCCAUUUGUGCGAGUGUAUUUGUGCAGGCACCUUACCUACAUUAUCACUGGUCCUCACAACAGCCCAGGACUCAGGACCCAUUCCACAGGUGA